rnacentral:rRNA from 1 species
UGGGGAAUAUUGCACAAUGGGGGAAACCCUGAUGCAGCGACGCCGCGUGAGCGAAGAAGUAUUUCGGUAUGUAAAGCUCUAUCAGCAGGGAAGAAAAUGACGGUACCUGACUAAGAAGCACCGGCUAAAUACGUGCCAGCAGCCGCGGUAAUACGUAUGGUGCAAGCGUUAUCCGGAUUUACUGGGUGUAAAGGGAGCGUAGACGGCUGUGCAAGCCUGAAGUGAAAGGCCGGGGCCCAACCCUGGGAGUGCUUUGGGAACUGUGCAGCUAGAGUGUCGGAGAGGCAAGUGGAAUUCCCAGUG